GACGAACCGAGCGAACGUUGUUUCGGAAUCACUGGGCUUAAAGGGCGCGUAGGCGGGCUGUCAAGUCUGGGGGUGAAAUCCCGCGGCUCAACCGUGGAACUGCCUCAGAUACUGACGGCCUCGAGGGAGAUAGGGGCGAGCGGAACUAAUGGUGGAGCGGUGAAAUGCGUUGAUAUCAUUUAGGAACUCCGGGUGGCGAAGGCGGCUCGCUGGAUCUUUUUUCUGACGCUGAGGCGCGAAGCUAGGGGAUCAAACAGG
rnacentral:rRNA from 1 species